CAAGCUUACUCCCCAACAGGUUGCCGAAAUAUCAAGUACGUGCCUUUUUUAAAAAAAAAAUUCUUAGAUUAUUGUUGUUAUGAAUCACUAUUUGUCUUUUGUUAAGAAUUGGGAUUAGCAUGCAAACUUGAAAAAUUGAAGUUAUUAUACUAAGAAUCAGGAUUGGCGUGUAAUAUUAUAAGGGUAAAGACAAGAAAAAGGAAAGUAAAACAAAUAGCGAAAAGAAAAUGCAUCAAUAACCUUUGGUUUAUCCAAAAUAACAUGGUUUUUUAGGGUUUCUCGAUAAAUCAUGCAUUUACUUAUUGUCUGAAUGAAUAAUGUUCUAUAAGUAAAAUGAAGAUACCAAUGUGGAAAUUACUCAAUUUUAUUCAAUUUAUCAUGCAAUCCAUCGAGGAAGAAUGAUCUCCAGAAGAACAUCCGAGUUGUUAGAAUUUGAGACUUGGAACUUGAAAAUUUUAUCUUCGGUGAUGUUGCUAUCUCUUUUUGGGUUAACUAGACUAAAAACCCAUGGCCAAGAUUUUAAAUUGGUACUCAAACUUCAAUCCAUUCUAAUUGAGUCAUCAAAAUAUCAAUAUACUAUCAAUUAGAUUUUUCUUUCAGACUAGAAAUUAGUACACGCAAAUCAAAUUUUAAACAAGGGUCUAUUUAUUGCAUGGACAACUUAAAUUUUGAUGUGUUAAAAAUAGCCCUUUUAAAUUUUAACAAUGCUGUUUAUAUUUUUCUAGUGUAUUACAUACAAGUUGCUCAUGCAGUAGGUUCAAAUAUGUUUAAAAUUGAUCUCCAUGUGAAAUCUAAGCUAGAAUCUAAUCUCCAAAAUGACGACAAGGCGAAUAGAAAACUUGAUUGAUAUGAUAUUGGUACUUCGAAAAUUCAAUUAGAACUUUUCAAAGUUCAAGGACCAAUUUAAAACUUUUUUCUUUCAUGGAGCAUCCUCGCAAGUUGCAACAAUGCAGAUCUCAAUGCAUAACAAAAAAUGCUUUUUAGUUUUCUUUUAAAGAUGAGAGGAGGAAAGAAUUAGUCGGUGGAUGCAGGAUUUUCUGAAAUUAACAAAUUGACUUUUUACACCACCCAUCUCUUGUGAAUUGCUAAUGCAUCUUCACUAAAAAAUGUUUCCAUUUCUAAAUGUUUCUAUCUUUCCUCCCCCUUCCUUUUUUGGUUCAACUCUUGGUUUAAGCAUAUUGUGAUGGGAUAACAUGCUUGUUUUAUUAUAUAGGCUAUGGACCUUUCACUCUUUUAGGCAAUGAUGCUUCAAUCCUUAAAAGAUUUAGAUUCUGUGUAGUGGGAAAUAUGUUUGAAGAAAUUAGAAACCACUUUGCUAGAUAUUUAUGUGUUAAUAGUAACAACAAUCAGGUAUAAGGUUGAAAGAGAAUGCUUGACAUCGAAAUAGAAGAGGAAAAACAAAUUUGGAAAGAAGAGUUAGGUAUAAAUGAUGAUACAUCAAUUUAUUAUUGUGAUUUGGAUGAUUUCUAGGUAGGUUUUGUUGUGAGAAGGAACCAUGGAAAACUGGUAUAGCAUCAGACUAGGCCAUUUUAGUUAAAUGUUGCAUAUACUUUUUUCUUUCCAUGAACACAAAAGUUGUUCUUACAUGUUACCGUGUUUGAACAUUUGGUAAGUAAUUUGGUUUGUAAUUGUACGUGGCAGAACAACCUGGUGUUCUUCAAGUUGUCCCGAGCAGGACACUCCAGCUACAUUCUGGACCAGGCAAGCUGCACUAAGGCUCAAGAAACUCUUUUACCCUACUAAAAACAAAAUCCUAUGGAACAAUAGUCUCAUUGUAUAAAUAUGUUUGACACACUCUGUGCUAUGGGGUGUGCUACAUUAUACUAUUUGAAUCUAUGUUACAUAGACUUAUUUGCUUAUAGAUAUAAAUAUGAUGGGUUUAAGAUAAUAACAGGGUACUGAAUAUAUCAGUACAAUUUUUUCACACAUUCUACAGCCAUAUCGUGUUGGAGCUAUCUAUAAAAAUACAUUAAGACAUAUUUAGAAAAUGUUGCUACUCCCAAAUCGGAAGAUGAUUUUACUAUACUUGGCCCUUUACAAAGGCUUUUAGAAUUUACUACAUAAAACUACGCUCUGCCAUAACAGCAGCUCUAAAUUAGUUUUAGAGAUUUUAGGGUCCAGUGUUUUUUUUAAGUCAUAAACAAUAUUAAACAAAUAACUUUUCAAAUAAAUUUUGAAGUUAGAAAGCGCAUUUAAACCCAAAAUCAAAAUCAGUUUUUUCUAAUUUUUGUUUUUGACAAAAGCGUUUUUAAGAGUAAAAGAUAAUUUUAACCCUUAUAAAGUAUUUUAUAUUGGAUAUUGGAUAUGUAAAUAUUUUUCUAUUAAAAUUUAUUUUAAAUAUAUAAUAUUAUAUAUUUAAAUUUUUAUUAGUUAUAUUUUAAUAUUUAAAAUAUAGUUUAUAUUUUAAAUUAAAUUUUAUAAUUAAUUAAUAUUAAUUGUUUAAAAAUAGUUAAAAUUUAUUUUUUAUAUAUUAAAAUAUUAACAAUAAAUAUUAUAAAUUAUUUUUUAUAACAUUAUUAAAAUAUUAUAAUAUUAAAUAAUUUGAAUAUUAUUUAAAUCUAUAUUUAUUAUUUUAUAACACUAUAUUUAAAAUAUUUUAUUUCUUAAAAGCAUUUUUAUAACAAUAUUAAAUGCUUAAAUUUUACACUAAUUUUUUCAAAAAUGCCUUCUAAAAUUAUUUUUCGACGAGACUUUUUAAAAACGCAUCUCAAUAACAAAACAAUGUUAAGGUGGCCCCUAGAAUAAAUUAGGUAAACUCCAAUUCUCGGCUUCCUAUCCACAAAGCAAUUCAGAUAAUGUUCACCAUGAAGAAAAUUCCCUAUUAUAAUAGAAAAAAAAAUAGAAAUUAUUUUGGAUGAUAUCUAUUCAAUAAUAUUCUGUCUUUUUAAUGUAACACCAAAAUAAAAAAAUGCAUACAAAUAUAAUCUAUAAUCCAUAUAUAUAAUAUAUAAAAAAGAGACCUUUUCAGUUGAUAAAAAUACCUUUUAUUUUUAAUUUUAAAAUAGAGUUAUUAUUUGAAUAGAAUUUUAAAUAUAAAAUAUAAGAAAAAUAUUGUGAUAAUUUUUAUUUUAUUUUGAAAAAAAUGUGUCAAUUUUUAUUUAUGUAAAAUAAAAUUAUUACUUAAAUAGUAUUCGAUAAUUAGAUGUAUUCAAUCAAAUAGCAUAUAAAAAAAACUUACCAACAAAAAAAAGAGAUUAUUAGCAUUAAUAAAUGCAUAUAUAUAUAUCAAAGAAUGAAACAUUACUUUAAUGAUUAUUCAAAUUGGUGAUAUUUAACCAUAUUCAAACACAAUGGCUUUAAGGAAUAAUUAAAGACUAUCAAAUUGAUGACGAGGUACUAUAAUAUUAUGAUAUUAUUUUUUAAAAUUUUAUAUAAGUUAUUUACAUUACGUGAAGUAGGCACUCAUAAAACCGUUCUUCUUUUUUCGGAGGGUUUAUUUUAAAGAAAGUCAAAUUUUAAUAAUUAUUUUUAAUCACUAUUAUUAAAUGUAUUUAUCAAUUAGUAUAAAUAUAUUUCCUAUUUAUCAUGAACUAUUAUUAUAGUUGUUGUAUUUUGCUUUAUCUAUUUUUUUAAUUUUUUAAAUUAAUAUUAUAGUUUAUUUUCAAGUUCUAAAUUUGUAUAUUUUUGAAAAAAAUGAGAGAACUUAUCAUUGUCAAUAAUUAAAAUCAUAUACUAAUUAGUAUAUCAAAAAACAUGGGCUUGUUGUUUAUUAUAUUAUUGAAUUUUCCAUUUUAAAUAUUUUUAAACAAUUUUAAUCAAUUUCACAUAAAAUUUGAAAUCUCCUUUAGCAAUAAAAUUAAAAGUUUUAAUAAUGAAAAGAUCUUAUUGAUAUAAUCUCGAUAGUUUAAGAUCUAAUUAAAAUAUAUUAAAAUUUAAAAAUUAAUGUAAAAUGAAAGUUAUAAUUUGAGGAUAUCAUUUCAUCACUUUCAUUCUUAAGUCUGGGAUAAACUUUUUUAUCUUUUAAUUUUAUUUGAAAAGUAAAAAAAUGAAAACUUAGAGAGAAAGAUAAUCCUCUUUAUAACAACCACUUGCUAUAAUAGUCAAAUUUUUAGAAAAAAUAAUCUUUGAACUUUUAUAUUUUAUUUUAAUCUUCUAGAAUAAAUUUUCACUUAUUAAAGUAAUAAUCAUGAUUGUGAAGUACAUUCUUUAUUAAAUUAGUUCUCUAUAAUAAUAUAUUGUCUAAAAUUUUAAAUAAAAGUAUAAUUAUUUCAUAUAAGCAAACCUAUUUAUUAUACUUAUUAAAUAAAAAUAGUAUUAAUUAAAAUAUUAUUUCAAUAAAACAUUUAAAUUUUACAUGAAAAAAUAUAUUAAUUCUAUUUUAUUAAAUGAAAUAAUCUUAAAUUAAAUAUAUCAAUUUAAUAAACUAUCAAGUUCCAUAAUUAAAUAUUUACUAUGAAUUUAAAAUUUUGUAAAUUUAUAACUUGAUUAUUUAAAUUUAAUAAUUCGUGAUAAAUUAAUUAAUUUAAUAUGAUAACUUAUAUUGAUUAAUUAAAAUUAUGACUCAAUAGUCGUUUCGGAAGAAUGUAAAAUGAAAUAUGCAGGAGAACAAUUAUGCAUAAAAAUGUUUGAGAACGGAGAAAGGGAAGACUUGAUCGGAGAUCGGAAUACUAAAAAAAGUUCAUUUUAAGGACUUGGACUCUGGUGUGGAAAAUGAUAUGGUUGUGGACUCUAUUCCGGCGCAGGAAAUCUCUUGGAGGGACAAAGUUCUGGGUCGAGGGGCUCCUGACUCCAGUAGAGACGAGGAUUUUGAAUUUCUAGAUGGAAAUGUCGUGAGAACUACGGUUAAUGGUGUUCCCCCUAUCAACUUUUCCGAAAGGAGCCAACGAAUUCCCUUCCCUCCGACAGGAGCCAACGAAUUCCCUUCCCAGAUAUGGCGACCACGGUGGUUGUUAAAUUACUUGGCCGGAAUAUUUCUUACUCUAUUUUGCAUAAUAGGAACCACAGUCUCUAGAAGCCUUCACAACAGAUUCACAUAAUGGAUGUGGAAAAUUGUUAUUUCCUGAUAAAAUUUCAAAGUCAUGACGAUUAUGAGAGGGUUCUUACCUAGGGUCCAUGGAUUGUCCUUGGCCAAUAUCUCACGGUUCAACCGUGGACUGCAGAGUUUAAUCCUCUCCAAGCAUUUCCUAGCAGCACCAUCGUUUGGGUCAGAUUACCGGGGUCUCUUGGGGUUCCUCUAUAAGCGCCAAAUAUUAGAAGAAAUCGGAGGUCUGAUUGGGACGGUCACAAAGCUCGAUUUUCAAACGGACAAAGGUUCGAGGGGAAAUUUUGCAAGAAUGGUCGUGUGCAUUGAUUUGAUAAAACCUUUGGUAUCUCAGAUCUUGGUUAACAGGGCGGUGCAGAAGGUUGAGUUUGAAGCGUUGCUAUUUGUGUGUUUCUCUUGUGGAAGAUUCGGGCAUUCAAAUGCCACGUGCGUAGAAAUGGGAUAUUCACAAAAUGCUGGCGAUGGAAUGAACACAGCAAUGGAAAGCUUACUGGAGGUAGUCAAAGCGGUGGAGCCAUUGGAGCCUUUUGGUCCCUGGAUGAUCGUUGAGAGGAAGUCAAAGCAUAAUUCUAGCGCUCGCAUUAAUACUGAAACGAAAAUUGCCAUGAAUAACGCUCUGAAUCUGUUUGGGAUUUGGAAAGGCUGAGAUAAGGGAAAAAGAAGCAGAUGUUUCGGGGAUAACAUUUCAAAAAGGGAAAUUUCUCAAAGGGAUCAAUCAAAGGACUGCUUCUAGGGAUAAGGGAAAUACUGAGCUAAUAACCAAAACGGCAAAUAACUUUAGCGUGUUGGGAAAAGCAGAUGUGGACGGGCUGGACUUUUUGAUGGAAAUAGAGGCAGGUGGAUAGCGGGCUUAUGGUGGAGGGUCCGGGUAUGUCUAUUGAGUCACUGGUGGACCCACAAGGUUUUAGCAGCUGAUAUUAACGUGCAAAUCAAAGACACUGGGCUUGGCUUACCGAGUUUGUAUUUAUU
rnacentral:lncRNA from 1 species